AUUGAACGCUGGCGGCAUGCUUUACACAUGCAAGUCGAACGGCAGCGCGGGCUUCGGCCUGGCGGCGAGUGGCGAACGGGUGAGUAAUACAUCGGAACGUGCCCAGUUGUUGGGGAUGGCUCGGCGAAAGCCGGAUUAAUACCGCAUACGACCUGAGGGUGAAAGCGGGGGAUCUUCGGACCUCGCGCUAUUGGAGCGGCCGAUGGCAGAUUAGCUAGUUGGUGGGGUAAAGGCCUACCAAGGCGACGUUCUGUAGCUGGUCUGAGAGGACGACCAGCCAAACUGGGACUGAGACACGGCCCAGACCCCGACGGGAGGCAGCAGUGGGGAAUUUUGGACAAUGGGCGAAAGCCUGAUCCAGCAAUGCGGCGUGGGUGAUGAAGGCCUUCGGGUUGUAAAGCACUUUUGGCGGGAACGAAAAGGACUGUGCCAAUACCACGGUUCGAUGACGGUACCGCAGAAUAAGCACCGGCUAACUACGUG
rnacentral:rRNA from 1 species